AUUCAAUGGGUCAGAUCAGAGGAUUCUUCAUUUUAGGCCUUCUAAAAUCUGGAUCUUGCUCUAAGUGUAGGCCCACCUUUUUUCCACGCAGAUGUCACAACCGUUUCGACUCACUCCAUAUAAAGCAAUUUGUCUAUCACUCUUAACUCUCUCUGUCUCUCCCUCCUUGCGAGGUAUAUGAAAAACAAAAAACCCUAGAUACAUCUUUAAGGAUGUACGGUCAAGGCGGAGGUGAAGCUGCUCCGCCUUCAUACGGUGGUGGAUAUGGAGGUGCUGGAAGCUAUAGUAGUGGCAGUGGAGGUUACGCAGGAGGAGGUGGUGGUGUUGGUGUUGGCAGUGGCUAUAAAGGGAACAGUGGUUAUGGUGGAGGCGGCGGUGGACGUGGGGGAGGUCACAGCGGCCGCGGUGGAGGCAGAGGAGGUGGUGGAGGAUAUGGUGGUAGUUCUCAAAAUCGAGGAGGCGGUGGAGGCUAUCAAGGAGGAGACCGUGGUGGAAGUGGCAGAGGUGGUGAUUGGCUUUGCCCUAACCCCAGCUGUGGGAACUUGAACUUUGCAAGAAGAGUUGAGUGUAACAAAUGCGGUGCACCAUCUCCCGCGGGUGCUGGUGAUCGUGGUAGUGGUGGUUAUAACAGAGGAGGUAGUGAUGGGGGAUAUGGCGGUAAUCGUGGAGGUAGAGAUGGGAGUAGAGGUGGUUAUGAUAGUGGGAGGAAUAACAGCUAUGAUGGAGGCAAAGGUGGAAAUUAUGAUAAUAGAAGUGGUGGUAGUAGAGGUGGUUCUUAUGGAGGUAGUCAAGAGGGCAAAGAUGGUGGGUAUGGUCAAGUACUUCCUCCACCGUCCAAUACUUAUGGUGGUGCUGCUGCUGGCUAUUAUCCACCUGCUCCUGAUGCAUAUGGUGGGAAUGCAAAUUAUGGAAAGGAUUCAGUUGGUCCUCCUGCUGGUUAUGGUGGUGAGGGUUUGCGUGAUGUGAGGACUGGUGGUCGGAGUGGACAUUCUGGUGGAUAUGACAAUGGGUAUGGGUCUGGCGAUCCUCGACAUCAGGGAGGUUGUUAUGGUGGUCGUCAUGUUGAUGCACCAGCUAAGAUCAAGCAGUGUGAUGGCAACUGUGGGGAUUCUUGUGACAACACAAGAAUAUACAUGUCAAAUUUGCCACCUGAUGUUACUAUUGAAGAAUUAAGAGAACUUUUUGGCGGCAUUGGACAAGUUGGAAGAAUUAAGCAGAAGCGUGGCUAUAAAGAUCAGUGGCCUUGGAAUAUUAAAAUAUACGCAGAUGAGAAAGGAAACCAGAAAGGCGAUGCAGUUUUGUCUUAUGAAGAUCCUCAGGCUGCUCACUCUGCUGGCGGUUUCUUUCACAAUCACGUCAUGAGAGGCUAUACAAUCAGUGUGGCUAUGGCAGAGAAGACUGCACCUAAAGUAUAUAAUCAUGGAGGUGGUAAAGGUGGCUAUGGAGGUGGUGGGGACAGGCGCAGGGAUAAUCAACGAGAUGGAGGUUCUGGGCCAGAUAGACAUCACUAUGGUGGAAACCGUUCACGCCCAUACUGAGAGACUUUCAGCAUCAGAGUAUUUUCUGUACUAAGAAAUGUGGUCUGAGGGUUGUAGUUGUGUUCCCUUUACAGGGUUGUUCUUGAACAGGAGACAAAGAGAGGCAAGUGGAUUAACUCCAAAUUUCUUGCUGCUAAGGUAGGUUGAUAAUUUCAGGUGAGUGCUGCUCUUUCAAAUCACACAUUUACUCUUUUGUUUGGCAAUUAACCUUUAGUGGUGGAUUUGAUUUUGUUGCCUGUCUGCAUAUCAUUCACUGUGGAGGAACAAGUGCAUGAAUAAUAUACAUGCAUUAAUCUGUUGGACAAUUGAAGAAUUAGAUUUGUAUCCUUCUGUGGCAGCAUAUCUAUCCUAAACUAUUUCACAAUA